UGAGGAAUAUUGGUCAAUGGGCGAGAGCCUGAACCAGCCACGUCGCGUGAAGGAAGACUGACCUUACGGUUUGUAAACUUCUUUUGUAGAGGGGUAAUGGCAGAUACGUGUAUUUGCGUGAAAGUACUCUACGAAUAAGCAUCGGCUAACUCCGUGCCAGCAGCCGCGGUAAUACGGGGGAUGCGAGCGUUAUCCGGAAUUAUUGGGUUUAAAGGGUGCGCAGGUGGCUAAUCAGGUCAGUGGUGAAAAGCUAUGGCUCAACCAUGGUCUUGCCAUUGAAACCGUAUAGCUGGAGAGGAGACGAGGUAGGCGGAAUGUGUGGUGUAGCGGUGAAAUGCAUAGAUAUCACACAGAACUCCGAUUGCGAAGGCAGCUUACCAGGCUUUAUCUGACACUUAGGCACGACAGCGUGGGGAUCAAACAGG
rnacentral:rRNA from 1 species